CACUGCACAGCUAUUCUAGCGUUAACCUUUUAAGUUAAAAAUUGAGGGGCAUACCCUCUGCAGCGA
ensembl:Mt_tRNA